rnacentral:tmRNA from 1 species
UCCCUUCCAUUUUCCGCCAAAAAUCCCUAUAUAGAAGGCGUCGGGCAACCGACUAUGGCGAUAAACGGUCUACAGAAUAGGUGUUGCGGACCCGGGGGCGGUACCCGGCGCCUCCACCACAUAUAGAUUCAAACUGUUGGAUUCAAACAGUAAUUUAAAUUCUGGAAUCUAUAUUUGAUGGGGGCGAAACAGGAUCGACGUGCACAGUAAAAGUAUAUUUUUCGUUCGGCAUGAUUCCGCCGUUACCGGGUCAAUCACUACAAAUGCAAAUGACAAUCGUCAAGCAUUUGCGGUCGCAGCUUAACAGCUGAGUCCACGGGGUUCGAGGGGCACCUGGCAACAGAAGCCCCUCACU